UUUGCAUGUCUAGCCGACACACGCUCCAUACGAGUAGCCGAUUUUCUCGUCAAAUAUUAUCAUUUUGUCGCAAUAGACGGCAGUGGGAAUGUACAAUUUGGAAACGCUGAAUUCAGCCUGCGUGUUUUCACGUGUAAAGUUUUUUGCGACAGGAUUGGAUCGCCCGGUAAAAGUCAAAUUCGGACCACACAAAACAAUAUAAUUGAAAAUGAAUGAAGACGUCGAAAAAUCAAAUUCCUCUGAACGUAUUUACAGGAAAUUAUGGCUAUGGACACAUGUACGUGAAAUGGAGGUCGUAAAAAUAAUAUGCAUGAAACGGCAAUGAAUUGUUUCUUCGGAAUGUGUAUGUGAAAGUACCGACCAAGAAGGUUCAUACGUGAAAUAUGACACGCUAUGAAAGUCCAUGCGUCAAAGGACGAGCAUACACGUGUUUGCCUACAUCCACGUACAUGUAUGUAUGAAUGAAUCAAUCAGUCAACCUUUGACACGUGCUUAAAAUCCACUGAAGCUUCAAGCACGUCUGCUAACAUUCUUUAAGUUAUCAUAUGCAUGAAAAAGACAGCUCUGCAAAAUUUGUGUCAACUGAUCUGCAUGGCUGUGAUUUACAUGGCUGUGGCUGUGGCGGUUCUGGACCAACGGGAAAGGACAAUUAAGGUGAACUGAGGCACUAGAACAACGUUAACGAUCUACGUGGUUCUCUGGAAAUCGAAGUUUGCGACAACGACUACCACUACAGACAGAGAGCGUUUAAUGAGCUGCGCCAAUUAACCCCCGCUCUGAUCAAUGUGUGGGAUGGACACGCUAUCUGGUCAGCUAAGAGAGUUUGUGCGUCUGCAAACUUGGACAGGCGGAAAUACAGGAAAGAGUCAUUAGCGAAGAAAGAUGCUCUUUAUGUUGUGUACGAACACACACAGCGGCGCGGGGAGGAAUACAUGCUCUAAAACUAAAGCGCGAAGAUAGAGUCUGUUAUGGGAUCGGGAACCAAAUAAAAGAAAUCUUUUAUUUUCA